rnacentral:rRNA from 1 species
CUCAAAGGAAUUGACGGGGACCCGCACAAGCGGUGGAUGAUGUGGUUUAAUUCGAUGCAACGCGAAAAACCUUACCCACCUUUGACAUGUACGGAAGUUGCCAGAGAUGGCUUCGUGCUCGAAAGAGAGCCGUAACACAGGUGCUGCAUGGCUGUCGUCAGCUCGUGUCGUGAGAUGUUGGGUUAAGUCCCGCAACGAGCGCAACCCUUGUCAUUAGUUGCUACGAAAGGGCACUCUAAUGAGACUGCCGGUGACAAACCGGAGGAAGGUGGGGAUGACGUCAAGUCCUCAUGGCCCUUAUAGGUGGGGCUACACACGUCAUACAAUGGCUGGUACAGAGGGUUGCCAACCCGCGAGGGGGAGCUAAUCCCAUAAAACCAGUCGUAGUCCGGAUCGCAGUCUGCAACUCGACUGCGUGAAGUCGGAAUCGCUAGUAAUCGCGGAUCAGCAUGUCGCGGUGAAUACGUUCCCGGGUCUUGUACACACCGCCCGUCACACCA